rnacentral:lncRNA from 1 species
CUGGAACGCGGAGGGGCGGAGGGAACCCCGGUGGCUGCGGUUCCGCGAAAUGGCGGAGACGGCGGCCAACGCCCGCUGGCUGCUCACUUCUAAAACGGAGAACCUGAGUGCCUCCUGAGGGCUAGCCAGCAGCUUCCUAGAGAUGGCUGUGAGGCUGUGGGGUCAGCCAGGCCAGCUUCACUACCUACGAGAUCAGGGUCAAGACAAACCUUCCAAUUUUCAAACUGAAAGAAUCUCCUGUCAAAAGAAGAUAACAUGACUCCAAGAGAAAACAUAAUGAGAAAAUCUUCAAGGACUUUCUGGCACACAACAGGACUUCAACAAAUGUAAGUAAUGGCUGCUUUCUCUCACACCUAAAGACAUAAUUUUGACAUAAAUUGCAUGGAACAUAGGUAUCAUAGACAGCUUUUGAAAAUAUAAGCCAGAAAUAAAACAC